CCUGGGAACAUUCUGGUGCAUGUACUUUUGUGUUGGGUGAGAAUUUGUCACGGUGCGCUUUGUUUCUGGGGCAUUUUAAGUGUUCCUGUCUGGGUUUUUGCAGGUUUUAUGAACCUGCAUCCGCUUGGCCUGUUUAUGUCCCUUCGAAGCAGAUCAUCUGGUGUUUUUCAAUAUUGGGGCCCAUUGUGUACGUGUUUGGCUUUUCUUAAGGGAACGGAUUUAGGUGGUACCUUUCUAGUCUGGCUCCCUCAGAUUCCCACCUCCCCUAAAUCACACCUCAGCCUCUGCCUUCCCCAGAGCCUCUGGCUUUGCUCUACUCCCUGAAAGUCCAGAGGCGGCUACCAAUUUUCUGUCACAGGGACAGGGACGAAACACAUUUUUGCAGGAUGAGGUCUGGCUAUCUCUGUCUUUCCCAAACUAGGGGGAAACGUCCCAGCUCAUAAACUCCCUCACUUCCUGGGGCUCCCCUUCCCAGGGCUGAGAGGGACAUCAGAGAGGCCUCCCCCAUUUCAUUCUGACCUUUUAAAAUAGUCUCCACACAACACUGAAUAAUACCAAAGUGGGUCUGCUUCUCCCUUCCUGGGGCUUUCUGGCAGCAAAUGUCCUCACCCUGGCCACCUCUUCUUGAGCUCAGCCAGUAGGACAUUUGCCCAGAUUAAAUGUCUGUGGGAGAGAUGCCUAUCACCUUAGAUCUCAGGGUCAGAGACUGGUUUUGAAAGCCUGGCUCCUUUAACACCGCCAGAAAUAAUCAAAUCAUCCCCCCUUUGUUUUUCAUUAUCAGAACGCAGGGGGGAGGGCUCUAGACACUAGGCCUGGAGCUCCACUGACCACCCCAGUGCUUCUUGCUGCUCCUACCGGGGUCCCAGGCCCUAUUUCAGGUGCCAGUAGCCCUUGAGCACCUUAACCAGGUAGGUAAAGUGGGAGGGGACUGAUCCUAGAGGCCAGAGGUGACAAAAUGAGGGCUUUGUGGAGCACCAGAUUGAACCAGAGGCCCCCCCCCGCAUUGCUUUCUGAGCAUCCCUCCCUACCCUUGCCCUAGAGUUCCCAUUUAAAAAGCAUGGGUUAGCCCUAAAAAGGGCUCUGCGGGGCGCAGAGCAGGAGGAAACAAGCUGUCAGGUUCAGGAAAAAGAAGGUGAGCCCUUCACAGACACCCCUAUGCUAUAUUCUCUCUCUCUCUCUCUCUCUCUCUCUCUCUCUAUCUCUAUCUCUCUCUCUCUCUCCUCCACUGCUACCCUGCAGGGAAAAGCUGGAGGAUUCCACUUAAGGUUCCUUUCUCCCGCGCCCCUCGUUUUCGGCUGAGCAGCGCGCUGACCCCGGCCCGCAGCCAGCCAGCCGGGGUCGCCACUGCUGCUGCGGGUCCGGAACUCACUUUCCUCCGGCUGGCCGGCUGCGGCGCCGCCUGCCUCGGUCUCUCCCUGCCUCCCUGCGGCCUUGCUGCUACCCCCCCCCCCCGCGCCCCCUUCUCAGGCUAACAAAUAUUUGAUAUACUUGUUUCUCUGCACCCCAGGCCUAGGCUGAGCCGGCUUAUGCUGGAUGAUCGCUGCGGGAGGACCGGGUCCUUGGCCGGCGGCUUUGCUCCCAACCCCAUCCGCCGCAGUCUCUCCUUCAUUCAGCCGGGUAAAACGCUUCUCCUUCCUUUCAUGCUUCUCCCCCUUUCUUUCCGCCUCUGGAUCUGAGAAAUAAAUAAAUCCAAGUCUCCUACCUCAUCAGCCCUCCCCACUGGCGCUGCCUCACGUCUCCUCCUCCUUACCGAGCGAACCGCCUUGUUUUCAGAAGGAAAUUUUAAUAGAACAGAGGCUGUAAAUGAACUUUUCUCUGAGAUGGCUAAUUCGCUUUCCAAUUCUUACGUCCUGCUGCUUUUCACGGUGGAAUGGAAAGGAUUUAGAAGUCUGCAGUAGGGGAGGGGGGUGUGGGGAGACGGAGCCCAGAGUUACAGACAGUGGUGAGAGAUACAGAAGACCGGGAGAUACAGAGAGCCAAAGAGACGUUUGGUUGGGGAGAGGAGGGAGAGAGGGAGGGAGAGAGAGAGGGAGGGAGGGAGAAGGGUGGGAGGGAGGGAGCCCCAGCUGGCGGGAGCAGAGCCAGAGAGAGAGAGAAAAGGAGAGAAAAGUUUCCUGGAGUCUUCAUUAGUUGACUUCUCUGUCCGCGGCUUCCCCCAGCCAGCAGGGCUCACUCCCAAUAAAGGAAGGAAGGGGGUCUUUAUUUUUUUUUCUAAGGCCCCAAAGAGUCCGGUGUUUACAAGACUAGAAAUGCUACAGCCAUGUCCCGGCAGAAAGAAAGGCUGAAAUGGAGGACCGACGCCUUCCUUAUAAGGUGUCCCUGGGGAAGAGGUGCAGAAAAUAAGGCAAUUUGGGAUCAAAGGAGGCUUCACUCUGGACCCAGUGCCCACUUGGGGAUGACAAUGAACUUGGUUUUGCUCACUGGGGCCUGAGCCAGCACCAACCUGGUAGAAAAAGCAACCACGAAGCCAGAGAGGGAAGAGAGCUCCAGACAGCGAUGAAAAGGAACCACGCGGUUAAAAAAGGGAAGAUUCGGGGGAGUGGAGAGGGAAUUAUCCGAGAUCACAGCACGAACGCCCCAGAAGGGGAGAAGGGAGAAGACGGAAUAACCGCGCGCGGAUGCCGGGACAGCACCGGGCCCUGGCCCUGGCUCCGAUUCCCACCCGCCGCUGCCCCACACGCUGAGGGCUGGGCCUCCAAGCCCCCCCUCGCGGCCGCCAGGGCUUCCUCGCUCUCCUUAUCAUCUCCAUCUUUAUGACGAGGCUUGUUAACAAGACCAGCGAGCUGGCCACGCACAUCUAUCUCAGCGCUCACGCUCAGCCAAGCAUCGGCCGGCGCGGGGACUAGCGAGGCACUAAUUAAUUGAUUCCUCUGGACAGUAAAAUAUGGCAGCGUCUACACGGAACCCAUAAACAAUAUCUCUGCGGGGUGUGAGUGCAUUGUCUCUCGAAGAAUUUUUCCAUAGGCCUGUGUCAAGUAGCGGAUUUUUCGCCACUAAAGAAAGACCCAAGUGGGACUCAUUUCUCCGGGGGAGACAGAGCUAGCUCAGUGUCAGAAAAUGCUUUAAGCUGUUACUGCCUCUCCGAAAGUGUUUAGGAGUGGAUUUUGUUGAGAAAAACUUGGGUCAUGCGAUAACGUUUCCCUGCUGCUGGUGUAGACCUGGCCAACCUUAGGGAUGGGAGGCAGAGCUGAGGGGCUAGGUGGGCCAGAAUCUUCUCCCUGGUUGGCUGAGAGGGAGUGGAGCUGCUCUGUGGUUCGAGAGAGUCUAGAAGAGUAGAAGACCAGGUCCAGCCUUUGCUUUAGGCUGUCUCUCUAGACUCCAGAUUUUAAAAACAAAUUUAAAAAAAUGUAAACAGACUUUGGCUUUCAGGAGCAGUGCAUGCCCAGUGCACACCUGAAACUUGCCUGUUACCCCAACCUGCCUGUUACACACCUUGUCAGGCCAUUGCAUUUCCCUCCCGCCGCCCCCUCCCCUCCUUUCCAACUGGCAGCCUGGAGUAACUGUAAUAUAUUUACCUUAGGUCUAAAAGAACAAGUCCUGAGACAUGGAGGGAAGGGAAGUAACCUAAUUAGAUAAUGUUAAUUCUUUACCAGGCUGUGAUUAUUCAGUCAGACUCCACUGCAAACAGGACUUAGGAUUCUAAAUACAGACCCUGACUUCAAGAGAUGUAACAGGGAAAUAGAGAUCAGCGACCAGCGAUUAUUGUAUAAAUAGUCCAUGUAGACAUAGAAGGGGUUUUCAAAAGAUGGAAAUAAUAGAAAAACAGGAAAACAGAGAAGAGGCUCCGUUGAUGGAGACUGUCAUUGCCAAAGCGCGAGCUUCCUCCAGCUACUGUUUGCAAAACAGCCAAAUAAACGCGUAUUAUAAAUACAAUAAUAUGCGAGCUCAAAGAAUUUACUUCCCUGGAUUUGGUACCUGCACACCAUGUAAACAAACUAAUUUACAGGGCAUAGUUUUCAUACAUUGGGUAGAUAUUCAAUUUGUAUAUAUAAUGAUGCCUUUUCCAUGUACUUUUUAUGUGGAUACAUUAAUAUCGGGAUGCAUUUUUCAUGCAUGAUUUUAUACGUCCUAUGGAGUGUAUACAUCUAUGUAGCUCAAGAGAUGCGGGACUGUGUAUUCCCGGUGUGGGAUGGAUAUGCGAGUGUACUGUUUAUGUAAAUGAAUCUUUACAUGUGGUGUUUAUCCAUGCUAUGUGUAACCUUUUCCCAGAAGGUUGCUUUCCCGUGCAAAUAAAAGUGCCUCUGUAUGUACAUUUUCUACAGAAAUAUAUUUUCCAUGCCCAGGGUGUACAUAUAACAUGGAUAUCUGUGCGUUCGAGAC